rnacentral:rRNA from 1 species
UACGUAGGGGGCUAGCGUUGUCCGGAAUCAUUGGGCGUAAAGAGCGUGUAGGCGGUCCGGUAAGUCCGCUGUGAAAGUCGGGGGCUCAACCCUCGAAUGCCGGUGGAUACUGUCGGGCUAGAGUACGGAAGAGGCGAGUGGAAUUCCUGGUGUAGCGGUGAAAUGCGCAGAUAUCAGGAGGAACACCUAUUGCGAAGGCAGCUCGCUGGGACGUAACUGACGCUGAGGCGCGAAAGUGUGGGGAGCGAACAGG